rnacentral:rRNA from 1 species
UACGGAGGGGGCUAGCGUUGUUCGGAAUUACUGGGCGUAAAGCGCACGUAGGCGGCUUUGUAAGUUAGAGGUGAAAGCCCGGAGCUCAACUCCGGAACUGCCUUUAAGACUGCAUCGCUUGAAUCAUGGAGAGGUUAGUGGAAUUCCGAGUGUAGAGGUGAAAUUCGUAGAUAUUCGCAAGAACACCGGUGGCGAAGGCGGCCAACUGGACCAUUACUGACGCUGAGGCGCGAAAGCGUGGGGAGCAAACAGG